GUCAGCUAUGUGGACUCUAGCUGCCAAAGGCGCUCCUCCUUCUGAACAGAGCGCUUUGCUCAGCCAGUGUAGACAUGGCCUGAU
ensembl:miRNA MIR1251 microRNA 1251